rnacentral:rRNA from 1 species
AGAGUUUGAUCAUGGCUCAGGAUGAACGCUAGCUACAGGCUUAACACAUGCAAGUCGAGGGGCAGCAUGGUCUUAGCUUGCUUUUGAUGGGCGUCGACCGGCGCACGGGUGAGUAACACGUAUCCAACCUGCCGUCUACUCUUGGACAGCCUUCUGAAAGGAAGAUUAAUACAAGAUGGCAUCAUGAGUCCGCAUGUUCACAUGAUUAAAGGUAUUCCGGUAGACGAUGGGGAUGCGUUCCAUUAGAUAGUAGGCGGGGUAACGGCCCGCCUAGUCUUCGAUGGAUAGGGGUUCUGAGAGGAAGGUCCCCCACAUUGGAACUGAGACACGGUCCAAACUCCUACGGGAGGCAGCA